rnacentral:rRNA from 1 species
UACGGGGGGGGCAAGCGUUGUUCGGAAUUACUGGGCGUAAAGGGCUCGUAGGCGGCCAACUAAGUCGGACGUGAAAUCUCUGGGCUCAACUCAGAGACUGCUUCCGAAACUGCUGUGCUGGAGUGUGGGAGAGGCGCGUGGAAUUGCAGGUGUAGCGGUGAAAUGCGUAGAUAUCUGCAGGAACACCCGUGGCGAAAGCGGCGCGCUGGACCACUACUGACGCUGAGGAACGAAAGCUAGGGGAGCAAACAGG